UGCUGUGUCACGGAGCUGGUUUUUCACGAGUGUGCCGAGACGCUGAGUUUUUUCCCCCUUCCUUCUCACAGACGCAGUGCGGCACAAGCAGACGACUGCAGACAGAGCAGGCAGAGGAGCGUACUGCUGCGACUCGCACAUUUUUCUCCCAAAGCUCUGCUCCUCUCCGUUCUCCAUCGAAAUGGGCUAAUUUUCUCCUUGUGGAAAGGCUGAGAACUGGGACGGUGGAGCAAAACGACACUCGUAAACUCGUAGGAAUUACACUCCAUCUUGGAGGAGGAACAAAGAAUUUGGACAUUUUUUUGGGAGACCUGUAAGGCAACGAAAGCUUCAUUUGGACAAAGAGAGGAUGCCGGAGUCAUAGAAGAACUUCUCGCCUUUUUUUUGCGACUGGUUUAGCCGGGCCUGUGUGCAUGGGCCGGUCCUGCUUCUGGUUCUAGUUUGCUUUGUCUUCAUGUGAACCUCAGCGUGUUACAUCGAGAUGAACCCAAAAAGUCAGCCGAAGGAAGCUGCCACUGAGAGAGUGCAGAGCAGAGCGCUCAGCCAGCCAGACAUGCUGACCUAAAUCAGUCUCCUUCAUGUCUUGGCUCAGCGACUGAACGAGAACGGUGAAGCCAGAACGAGAACACGAGACAGAGUUAGAUUUACACACCAGACAUAAUAGCCUGCAAAGUGCCUAGGUAGAAAACGUGCCCUCAUCUCUGAAGUUCUUCCCUGUAAUCCAGUCUCCUCCGUGUCCUCAGCUGCCCGUCUGUUGCUGCGCUGUUAUCCGUCUGCAGUAGAGAUCGGGAGAAGAGCGUGGGAGGGGAGGAGGAGGAGGAGGAGGAGGAGAUCACAAUGCGACGCCACUUUCUCUCCUGGUUUGCCGUCACUGCUUGGUUGCUCAGAGCUCCGGUGUUGCGAAGUAGUGAAACUGCUCCUGUCCUCGCGACAAAGGGCACAGAACGGCUUGGGUGAUGUAACGCAGGCACAUCAGGACAGCUGCUCAGGGCAAAUAUACAGACUGAAAAUGUCAGUACGUGAUCACUGUGUAAGUGUAGUGAGAUUCAGAUUUCAUCAGCUAGAGCUACCAGCUAGUCUGUGCACUUCUUAAAAUCGUGACUUACUUGCACCCUGUUUAGGAUCAUCAAGAAAUAUGGAUGAAGCAACUUCCUGUUGAGGAAAAUUCCAAAUAUCCCACAGGUGUGAAUGUGUUCAGGUAACAGGGUUGAGCGAAUGUUGUGACACUUUUUUCCAUAAUGUAUAAUGGAAGGGCGUUUCAACCAUGAAAUGUUAAACUGAUUCAUACAGGAACGCACAAAUUGUAACAUUACUGAUUACGUUUUGAGAUAAAUUGUAUUACUGUAUACUUGGUUGCUCAAGUUAAAUGCUGUUUUAAAAUGGUAUUUAUUUCAGUCAUUUAUUUAUUUUAAGGGUACUUAACCUGUGUGUAAAAUAUAUUUAACCUUUACUUUACAUACAUUUUUAUAAAUGUACUUUGUAUCCGAUAAAAAAAAUAAAUAUAAGUUUUAUAUCUAAA